rnacentral:tRNA from 1 species
GCGUUUGUGGCGAAGUGGUUAACGCAUCGGGUUGUGGUUCCGACAUACGGGGGUUCAAUUCCCCUCAAACGCC